GAUGAACGCUGGCGGCGUGCCUAAUACAUGCAAGUCGAGCGAACAGACGAGGAGCUUGCUCCUCUGACGUUAGCGGCGGACGGGUGAGUAACACGUGGAUAACCUACCUAUAAGACUGGGAUAACUUCGGGAAACCGGAGCUAAUACCGGAUAAUAUAUUGAACCGCAUGGUUCAAUAGUGAAAGACGGUUUUGCUGUCACUUAUAGAUGGAUCCGCGCCGCAUUAGCUAGUUGGUAAGGUAACGGCUUACCAAGGCAACGAUGCGUAGCCGACCUGAGAGGGUGAUCGGCCACACUGGAACUGAGACACGGUCCAGACUCCUACGGGAGGCAGCAGUAGGGAAUCUUCCGCGAUGGGCGAAAGCCUGACGGAGCAACGCCGCGUGAGUGAUGAAGGUCUUCGGAUCGUAAAACUCUGUUAUUAGUGAAGAACAAAUGUGUAAGUAACUAUGCACGUCUUGACGGUACCUAAUCAGAAAGCCACGGCUAACUACGUG
rnacentral:rRNA from 1 species